rnacentral:misc_RNA from 1 species
UAGAGUUCCUUUUCAAACGGAUGUGAAGUUGUACCAAUACCCAUCGAGAACUAAGCGUUUUUGCUGUCAGCACUUGCGUUGUUUAGAUGGGUUCCCUUUGCUGCCUUCAUCUUGCUUCAUUUGAAGUGAGAAGUAGAGUAGAAAUAAAAGACCGGCACGGUUUGUGCCAAGGAUAGUCGUUGUUGGAGUACAUUGCCAUCUUUUUGAUGUCUUUGUGUUACUCUACAAGCAAAUACGUCUGAAUGACUCCUGGCAAUGGAUAUCUUGGCUCUCGUGUCGAUGAAGAACGUAGCGAAAUGCGACACUUGGUGUGAAUUGCAGAAUCCCGUGAACCAUCGAGUCUUUGAAUGCAAGUUGCGCUCGAGGCCAUUAGGUCGAGGGCAUGUCUGUUUGGGUGUCAUGCCUUGCGUCAUUCUAACCACCCAUCUAAGAUAAACCUAGUGUGGGUGACAAUGGAUAUGGAGAUUGACCCUCCGUGCUUUAGUUGUGCGGUUGGUUUAAGUGAAUGUUAUUGCUAGUCUACGUGCAGCGAAUGGUGUAUCGAGUUAACAUACGAUGUCUAUAACUGCGUAUAGAAGCCCUAGGCAUGAUGUAACAUUAGCUAAAGCCAUUUCCGAUGUUUGCGUUAGUCGUAAGCUCGGACC